rnacentral:pre_miRNA from 12 species
GUGAGCGAGCGCCGCGGGGACGGUGGGAGGGCGGCGGCCUAGGGCGUUGAGGGCGGCCCGGGAAUGGCGCGCCCUGCGCCGCCGGCGUAACUGCGGCGCU